ACUUCGCUUGUUUUUCCGCCAUGACACAACGACCGAGUACGGAAAUCCCCGAUCAGCGGUAGGCGAGAGACACUGCACAACGGCCGUGCGCACACCAUUCGAGAUUAUUUUUUUUCUCCUUUUAUUUUGGAAAUAGUAUAUUACGUUACAAAUGUACUAAGCCUACCCCUAAAAAUAUUAACACACGAUAUUAACAGUCUCCAUUUAUUACACACAGUGCGUGUAUUGUUUGUUUAAGAUCGAUAAUUGGAAAAAUCAUAAUAACAUUUUUGGUUAGCGUAGGACCAGUCCAGCGGAAUCCUCGCAGUAUGCGUCUACGGUUUGCAAUACACCUCACCUCUCACUCAACAACAAGCACUUUUAACGAGUUACGAAAUGUUAUAAUUCUUACCAUGACUCCUUUGUUCUUCGGGGGUGGGCAGGAGCUUGUUGCGAGGGGACUAAUUCGACUAAUUGUCGCGAGAUGAGCAGAUUGUUGGGGUAACCGUGAUAAAGAAAAGGGACGAAACAGAAAAAUGCCUCAUCAUUGCAUGCUCUCCUGACGCCGUAACAAUCCGGAAGAGGAUCUCGCAGUCGUUGGGGGGAGAAUUUCCGCGAGGAUAAUGGAAUGGCGGGAUCAAGUGUGAGGACGUUAUUAUUUGCCUGGGUAAAUCGAACGGAGUCAGGGUGACUGAUGCAACAGAUGAUUUUACGGUGAACUACAAUUUUCUUCAAUUUUCUGGAUGGAGGUUGGGUGUUAUCGUCGAGUGGAGCAAACAAAAGGCUGAAGAAGGAGUCGAUAAGUGAGGAAAAACACAUUUGUAGUUUAUAAAUGUUGAUUUUUCCUGCGACAAAACUCAAGAUCUGGUUUUCCGGUGCCGAUGCCGGUGUGAGUGAAUGUUUCAGUUAAUUUCGGGGUUUGGAGGCGCAUUUGAGUGAUUAGAGAAGAACAUCUUGCAAUUCCGACGAGGUGCAUCUGGCCUACAUUAAAAUUUAAGUAGACACUUUAGAGACAUAUGACUGCGCCAGUCAACCGUCUUUGAACAUUCCACGGAUGCCAGACAUCCUGGUAUGCGCUGACACGUACACAGACACCAGACGGAGUAGAUCAUAGCGAGGUGGACGGAAAAUUUAUCAUAAAGAUCUAUUUGAGACUCAAAGACUAAUAUAUUCCUUCGAUGCCCAGAUCUCACAAUAGCCUCAUAGGUCUCUCGUUGGAACUUAGUUUGAUGCCCAAUCGAAGACCAAUAUCUCGACUGGGAUCUUGCCGGGAUGAAUGCAUGGAUAUUAUAUAAAGAAACAACAGGAGAAAAUAUUUCAAGAAAAGGCUUUUUAUUCCCAUUAUCCGAAGAACUUGCAAUUAGCUACAAAGAACUAACCGGUAGGUCUACAGAUCAAGUGGAAGGAAUAUCAUCAUCUAUAUUGUCACAAAAUCAGACACAUAUUUCGAUGAAACGUAAACGAAUAACAAACUAAUAAUAAAACGAACAACAUUUGUGGUACAUCCCAUAAACGAGUCUGUGGUAAAUGUUCUGCUAAAAUAUCUGUAACUUGCAGAAAUUUUUUCAACCUUUAUGCAUAAUUAUUUAAAUAAUUACUGCUAUUAUAUUACUAUUAUUAAAUGAUUAUAUUUAAGUUUUGUUCAUAAAAUUACAAAAUAUAUAAAAACGUAAAAAUUACUGUCUUUUCUUAUAUAUCUUUUAGUAAUUUAAGGAACAAGUCAUUUUGACCCAUCCGGUAGAAGUAGGUAUACUUCAAUCGUCGGUCGUUCUAGCGUUAAAUUCGAUCCCUUGAAAAAUCUCAAUCCAAACCCCUUUUCCCAGUCUCCAUUUAAAAUAAUAAAUUAAAAAACGAGUCUCCAUCAUCACCAAUUAUCAGUUAUUAUUAUCGCAUUGAUACAAUUUCAUAAAUUUAUCCAUCAAAAGCACCGCUCAUAAACCCUGCCAUUUCAACCGAGAAUAGCGACGGUAAUAAUCUUCAAAGUCCUCUUCCAUUCACGUUAUUAGCCAUGAUGCAUUGGAGAAUGGUUUUAUAAAUGAUCGAUACGACUUUUAAUUGCGCAUAAAGACGUCGAUCAGGCUGACAUAAACGACAAUGGUAAUAUAAAUUACCGUUGGUCACAAGUGCACAAGGGCUGAUAUCAGGAUCUGGCAUCUAUUGCGCACACGAGACCGGAGAGAGGCAUGAUGAAGAUGAGGGCGAAGGAGGAAGAGGACGAUCGAUAGGAUACAAGUUUACAAAUUUUUUUUUUUCGCAUCCUCAACGGUGAUGAGGGGGUUAGUAUGAGGUACCUGAGAAGAGGUGGAGGAUUCCAGGAACGCCUACGGGGCACUUGACCUCUCUGCCGUUCGUGGUGUGCUGUAUACCGAAGAGGUAACCGUGCGAUAAUCGACCUUCGUAGCGACCUUAGACGACAUGAGGACGGGCCCCUCUUCCUCAACGGACGGGCCCCUUAUCCUCACCUUGGACAUCAAAAAUCGAGUAUACUAGGAUCAAAUAUAGAAUGUACUUAGAAUAAGCAUUAAUUAUAGUCAUUUUAAGUAUAAAAUGUACUUAAUUCAGGUUUUUUGUUCCCUGUCCAGUCAUUUUCUCAUUUCCCCCAGCUUCGCGGCGAAUUUAGAUGACAUGGAGACGGCGGCCUCCCCUUCCUUGACAUCACCUCGCCCCUUGCUUCACUCAUUUUUGCCUUUUUUUUCCCUUCACAUCUUCUAUCCUGCCGUCUUCUCCUUCUGCCGGUUUUUUUUUGGUCGUCUCGUUUCUUAACCCGGGGGAUAAGGCUCCAUACAGCGUGAAGGAAUUAUACGAGUACUUUAAGAGGAUUUCAGAGCGAAACGAUUCGAAAAGGGGAUAUGCAUCGGUGCAGAGCGAAUUCACGGGUCAAAUCGGCUAAAUCCAUUUGUGGGUAAUUGUCACAUAAAGUGAACUGCGAGUGAAUUUUUUUGCGGUGAAAUAAUAAAAAAAUUGCUGAUUGACGUGCGGGAAAAAUUACAGCAGGAAAUGUCACAAUCGAUUAAUUCCGGGAGUUUUUCAUCAAUUCCGUAUCACCGGACGUCGACAAUUAAUUAACGAAGCAUUACAUAAAGUCGCCAAUCUGCAUAAUUGAACGGAAUCGCGAGGUUGCCAAUGAGACGCGGAGUCUAUUCACCUGGGAGAUGUCUUGGCUGCAUUCAUCAUUUGGACGGAGCUCACCCCUCAACCCCUCCCUCUCCGUGGUACCUCUUCAACUUGGAGAAUUAUAAUGGCCAAGUGGUAUUUUAAUUGCCUCCACCCAUGGUGUGGGUCCCUGUACCAGUGGACCUCUCACGACUCCUUUACCUAUGGUUUAUAAACCCUCCGGGGUCUCUGUGGGGUCGAUUCAACAGAUGAGAGAACUCUCCUUUUCUCUCCUCUCUGCGACUCCAUGCGGGCCUGGAAAUGUUGCUGGGGAGGUUAUUGAAUACUGUGAUUAUGUUUCAGCUCUUUAAGCUGAGGCUGAUAGGUGUAAGUGAUGUUGGGUGGCUGGUUCGUCGAGGUUUUGGUCACUUGUUUCUGCGUACGGAGAAAUUUCUUCUAAAAAUUAUCAUAACCUUUUGUAAAAGUGUUUCAUGAGUCAUCGCUUCUUCAUUAAUUAUGAUGAUAAAUUUUUAUUCUGAAAAUAUUUACCCUCAUCAAACUGAAAAUUCAUGUCGUAAAAGAGUAAAUUUCACGAUGCACCAGAAUAAUAUUUUUCUAAUACAAUAUUUUUCUAAUAAAAUACAAAUUAGUCAUCAUAAAUAAAUUAUUAUUGAAUUUCCAGAAAGAAAGGAAAAAAUUAUGGCGCAUGAUACAGUCUAAUCGAACGGUGCGACAAUGUUCAUCGAAAAUCUCUCUCCGGAUGAAUUGUGGGUUUUAAGAUUUUUUGAUAAAUGGGACAAUAACUUUUAAUAUUAACAAAAGACUCUUAGAAAUUAAGACAAGGAUUUUCUGUCACUUGAGUAAGUUCAUUGUAUAACGUAGACUUUAGCCUAUAUGUUUAUUUUGUAUCUUUUCUAGUUUUUCGUAGCGGUAAUAAUUUAGCGUGAAGCGUUUAUUAUAAUUGAGUGAUAGUUUUAUGGCAUACAUGCCUUUUUGGGGCUUUUGUGUGAGGUCCAGUGAAGACAGUGUGCGGACAGAUAAACAAUGGAUGGUUUGUUCUAGUGCAGUGAAGAGGGAGAAACUAUAGAUGAGAAUAAGUGAGAUUUGGAAGAAUGGACAAUUUAGUUCGUUUUGAGUUUUCGGAGAGAACAGACUUACUUUAAUCGCGUCAUAUUUUUACCUUUUAAUCAACAUUACUGUACCAAGUUGAUAUUUUCUUAUUAUUAUAGUUUUUUUUUAAAUAGACUUUUUCGCAUUUAUUUCUUGCCCACCACAUUAAUCCUACAGAAUUGAGCAAAAAGAAAAAGAAUAUUUUGUUAAUUUUUUUUGGAAAACCCAUUGAAUGGGUUUUCCAAAAAAAGAUCCUUCAAAUGAAUUC